AUGGGUGGGUCAACAAGAUCAGUUAGUGUGUACUCAGAUUGUGUAGAGCGUCCUGCAUUCAGCAGCUUAAAGACACCAGGAGAGACAGCAAGACUGGAAAGAAGGGACACAGCCAAGAGUGACAGGAAGAUGGAGGAAGAAAAGAAAAGAGUGCAUAACAGUAAAAAGGGUUCAUUUCUGUCAGGAUGGUGUGAGCGAAACAGAGGGACGGGAGGAAGAGAUGAUUACAGCAGCAUAACUUUGGAGCCAAAGGACAGCGAGAGACGUUUCUAA
ensembl:lncRNA